rnacentral:rRNA from 1 species
ACAAGGGCAUACGGUGGAUGCCUUGGUGUCGAGAGGCGAUGAAGGACGCAGCACGUUGCGAAAAGCUUUGGGGAGCCGCGAGCAGGCUUUGAUCCAGAGAUGUCCGAAUGGGGAAACCCGGCAGCCCAUGUGGCUGUCAUCACCUUCUGAAAAGAUAGGAAGGUGAAGCGAACGCGGGGAACUGAAACAUCUUACGUACCCGCAGGAAAAGAAAUCAAACGAGAUUCCGUUAGUAGCGGCGAGCGAAACCGGACCAGGCCAGUGUCAUAAACCAUGCAGACGUUAGUUGAACAGCUCUGGAAAGGGCGGCCGUAGACGGUGAUAGCCCGGUAGGCGAAAGCCUCUGUAUGGGGGACACGAAGAGUAGGGCGGGACACGUGAAAUCCUGCCUGAACAUGGGAGGACCUCCUUCCAAGCCUAAAUACUCCUCGGCAACCGAUAGUGAACCAGUACCGUGAGGGAAAGGUGAAAAGCACCCCGAUGAGGGGAGUGAAAUAGUUUCUGAAACCGUAUGCCUACAAGCAGUGGGAGGGUGUUCGCAAGAACGCCUGACCGCGUACCUUUUGUAUAAUGGGUCAGCGAGUUGAUCUGUGCGGCAAGCUUAAGCCGAGAGGCGUAGGCGCAGCGAAAGCGAGUCUUAAAUGGGCGCAUGAGUCGUAUGGAUCAGACCCGAAACCGGGUGAUCUAUCCAUGGGCAGGGUGAAGGUGCGGUAACACGUACUGGAGGCCCGGACCCACCCAGGUUGAAAACUGGGGGGAAGACCUGUGGAUAGGAGUGAAAGGCUAAACAAACCCGGAAAUAGCUGGUUCUCCUCGAAAGCUAUUUAGGUAGCGUCUCGCGUAUGUCUGCCGGGGGUAGAGCACUGGAUGGGCUAGGGGGACUUCCCGUCUUACCAAACCCAACCAAACUCCGAAUACCGGCAGGAUGAUAGCGCGGGAAACAGACGGCGGGUGCUAAGGUCCGUCGUCAAAAGGGAAACAGCCCAGAUCGCCAGCUAAGGUCCCCAAGUCGGAUUUAAGUGGGAAAGGAUGUGGGAAUGCAUAGACAGCCAGGAGGUUGGCUUAGAAGCAGUCACCCUUUAAAGAAAGCGUAAUAGCUCACUGGUCGAGUGGAUCUGCGCCGAAAAUGUAACGGGGCUCAAAAUCCGCACCGAAGCUGCGAGUGAUCGGUUUCGACCGGUCGCGGUAGGGGAGCAUUCCGUAAGCCUGCGAAGCCGCGCUGUGAGGCACGGUGGAGGUAUCGGAAGUGAGAAUGCUGACAUGAGUAGCGAUAAAACAGGUGAGAAACCUGUUCGCCGUAAGCCCAAGGUUUCCUGCGCGAGGCUGUUCCGCGCAGGGUUAGUCGGUCCCUAAGGUGAGGCUAAAGCAGCGUAAUCGAUGGGAAGCCGGUCAAUAUUCCGGCACUGUAUGGUAUUGCGAUGGGGGGACGGAGAAGGGUAGAUCUACCGGGCGGUGGUUGUCCCGGAUUAAGCGUGUAGGCGUGGCCGCGUAGGCAAAUCCGCGUGGUCGUUAAGCCAAGGCGUGAUGACGAGCCGUUAGGCGAAGUGAUUAAUCCCAUGCUCCCAGGAAAAGCCUCUAAGCUUCAGAUACCAAACAACCGUACUGCAAACCAACACAGGUGGGCGAGGAGAGAAUCCUCAGGCGAGUGAGAGAACCUGGGUGAAGGAACUCGGCAAAAUUGCCCCGUAACUUCGGGAGAAGGGGUGCCCCCAGUACCGUGAAGCGCUUCGCGCGCCAGCGGGUGGGGGUCGCAGUGAAAAGGGGGGAGCGACUGUUUACCAAAAACACAGGGCUCUGCGAAAUCGAAAGAUGACGUAUAGGGUCUGACGCCUGCCCGGUGCUGGAAGGUUAAGAGGAGAGGUGCAAGCUUUGAAUUGAAGCCCCAGUAAACGGCGGCCGUAACUAUAACGGUCCUAAGGUAGCGAAAUUCCUUGUCGGGUAAGUUCCGACCUGCACGAAUGGCGUAACGACUUCCCCGCUGUCUCCACCCAGGACUCAGCGAAAUUGAAUUCGCAGUGAAGAUGCUGCGUACCCACGGCAAGACGGAAAGACCCCGUGAACCUUUACUAUAGCUUUGCAUUGGCGCUAGGAAUGAUUUGUGUAGGAUAGGCGGGAGACAGCGAGCGGGGGGCGCCAGCCCUUCGGGAGUCACCCUUGAAAUACCGCCCUGAUCCUUUUUGGCGUCUAACUCCGGCCCGUUAUCCGGGUUGAGGACAGUGCAUGGUGGGUAGUUUGGCUGGGGCGGUCGCCUCCUAAAGAGUAACGGAGGCGCGCAAAGGUUCGCUCAGGUUGGUCGGACAUCAACCGAAGAGUGCAAAGGCAAAAGCGAGCCUGACUGCGAGACUGACAAGUCGAGCAGGGACGAAAGUCGGCCUUAGUGAUCCGGCGGUUCCUUGAGGAAGGGCCGUCGCUCAUCGGAUAAAAGGUACUCCGGGGAUAACAGGCUGAUCUCCCCCAAGAGUUCACAUCGACGGGGAGGUUUGGCACCUCGAUGUCGGCUCAUCGCAUCCUGGGGCUGAAGUCGGUCCCAAGGGUAUGGCUGUUCGCCAUUUAAAGCGGUACGCGAGCUGGGUUCAGAACGUCGUGAGACAGUUCGGUCCCUAUCUGCCGUGGGCGUUGGAGAAUUGAGAGGGGCUGCUCCUAGUACGAGAGGACCGGAGUGGACAUGCCUCUAGUGUGCCGGUUGUUCUGCCAAGGGCAUUGCCGGGUAGCCACGCAUGGAAGGGAUAACCGCUGAAAGCAUCUAAGCGGGAAACCCGCCUCAAGAUGAAUUCUCCCAACGAGACCCGUGGAAGACCACCACGUUGAUAGGCCGGGUGUGGAAGUGCGGCAACGCACGCAGCUUACCGGUACUAAUGGGUCCAUUGGCUUUAUU